rnacentral:rRNA from 1 species
CGUGAGGGAAAGGCGAAAAGAACCCCUGUGAGGGGAGUGAAAUAGAACCUGAAACCGUGUACGUACAAGCAGUAGGAGCACCUUCGUGGUGUGACUGCGUACCUUUUGUAUAAUGGGUCAGCGACUUAUAUUCAGUGGCAAGGUUAACCAUCUAGGGGAGCCGUAGGGAAACCGAGUCUUAACUGGGCGCCAUAGUCUCUGGAUAUAGACCCGAAACCGAGUGAUCUAGCCAUGGGCAGGUUGAAGGUUGAGUAACAUCAACUGGAGGACCGAACCGACUAAUGUUGAAAAAUUAGCGGAUGACUUGUGGCUAGGGGUGAAAGGCCAAUCAAACUCGGAGAUAGCUGGUUCUCCCCGAAAGCUAUUUAGGUAGCGCCUCGGACGAAUACUACUGGGGGUAGAGCACUGUUAAGGCUAGGGGGUCAUCCCGACUUACCAACCCUUUGCAAACUCCGAAUACCAGUAAGUACUAUCCGGGAGACACACGGCGGGUGCUAACGUCCGUCGUGGAGAGGGAAACAACCCAGACCGCCAGCUAAGGUCCCAAAUUACAGCUAAGUGGGAAACGAUGUGGGAAGGCUUAGACAGCUAGGAUGUUGGCUUAGAAGCAGCCAUCAUUUAAAGAAAGCGUAAUAGCUCACUAGUCGAGUCGGCCUGCGCGGAAGAUGUAACGGGGCUAAGUUGUAAA